GCCAAGGUAGCUCAGCUGGGAGAGCAUUAGGCUGAAGAUCUAAAGGUCCCUGGUUCGAUCCUGGGCUUUGGCA